GAAAAGUGAGUCCUAUGAACUGAAUAUCUGUGUCCCCCACCAAAACUCAUGUUGAACCCCUACCCCUCAAUGUGAUAAUAUUUGGAGGUGAGGCCUUUGGAAGGUAAUUAGGUUUAGAUGAGGUCUUGAAGGUGAGGCCCACAUGAUGAGAUUAUUUUCCUUAUAAGAAGAGAGAGGGACAAGAGCUCACUCUAUCUCUGCCAUGUGAGGACACAGAAAGAAAGCAACUAUCUGCAUGCUAGGAAGUGGUCCUCACCAGAAGCCAACUACUUGGGCACCCUGAUCUCGGACAUCCAGCCUCCAGAACUCUAGCUCUGCAUGACAGCAUUGAAUACAAAUAUCACUGAUGAUGAUGAAUGGAUUGAGGAAUGCGGAAUGCAUUGUACUAAAAGGGUCCAGAAAUUGCCACAAGUCUCUUUUUGAGUCUCAGAGAAGCAAGGCCAUCAUGUAUAAGCCAGGAAUUAUUUUUGUCUGCAAUCAAUCCUUCAGAAGAAUCUCUCACAUCUUCACUUUUGUGCAGUAUGUUAACUAUGAACAAAAUGAUAGUGUAUGUCAGUCAAAUGUAAUACUUAUAUUAAAACCUGAUUAUUAAUGCAGAAGCUCAUGGAAAGUAAGGUUAAUCUGAAUAAUAUAUUAUUUCUCUUAGUCCACAAUCUAUCAUUUCACAAACCAUGGUUAAUAGAAUGACAAAAAUAAAAAGCUUUGUUUAAAUGAAAAUGUAUAAUAUAUUCUUCAUCUCAUUUAUAUCUUAUUGUGUUAGGUAGGCGAACAUAGCUAGUCUGUGAAUGUGAUAAAAAGAAGAUGAUACAUUUCUUUGUUUUAAAAAUCUUAAGUAUUCCUGCUAAAUAGUGAGUUUCCAAAGGCUUGCUAUUAUUUAAAAUAUUGC
rnacentral:lncRNA from 10 species